rnacentral:rRNA from 1 species
AACGAACGCUGGCGGCAUGCCUAACACAUGCAAGUCGAACGAGACCUUCGGGGCUAGUGGCGCACGGGUGCGUAACGCGUGGGAACCUGCCCUUAGGUUCGGAAUAACUCACCGAAAGGUGUGCUAAUACCGGAUAUUGUCUUCGGACCAAAGAUUUAUCGCCUUUGGAUGGGCCCGCGUUGGAUUAGCUAGUUGGUAGGGUAAAAGCCUACCAAGGCGACGAUCCAUAGCUGGUCUGAGAGGAUGAUCAGCCACACUGGGACUGAGACACGGCCCAGACUCCUACGGGAGGCAGCAGUGGGGAAUAUUGGGCAAUGGGCGAAAGCCUGAUCCAGCCAUGCCGCGUGAGUGAUGAAGGCCUUAGGGUUGUAAAGCUCUUUUACCCGGGAUGAUAAUGACAGUACCGGGAGAAGAAGCCCCGGCUAACUCCGUG